rnacentral:rRNA from 1 species
CAGGCCUAACACAUGCAAGUCGAACGAGAUCUUUCGGGGUCUAGUGGCGCACGGGUGCGUAACGCGUGGGAAUCUGCCCUUGGGUUCGGAAUAACAGCGAGAAAUUGCUGCUAAUACCGGAUAAUGACGUAAGUCCAAAGAUUUAUCGCCCAGGGAUGAGCCCGCGUAGGAUUAGCUAGUUGGUGGGGUAAAGGCCUACCAAGGCGACGAUCCUUAGCUGGUCUGAGAGGAUGAUCAGCCACACUGGGACUGAGACACGGCCCAGACUCCUACGGGAGGCAGCAGUGGGGAAUAUUGGACAAUGGGCGAAAGCCUGAUCCAGCAAUGCCGCGUGAGUGAUGAAGGCCCUAGGGUUGUAAAGCUCUUUUACCCGGGAUGAUAAUGACAGUAUCGGGAGAAUAAGCUCCGUCUAACUCCGUGCCAGCAGCCGCGGUAAU